CGGGCGGACCCCGGAAAGGGGGAGCCGCGGGGACGCAGCGACAGACUCGGGCUGCGGGCAGUGGCAGCCCACGCCUCCUAGGGGUUGCAGCCCUGGGCGCCGGUGUUGGGCCAGUCUCCCGGGCCUGGCACGCCCUGAUUUGCUCUGUACCCAUGAUUUGUGGCGGGGCAAGACGUUAAGCUGAGUAACACCGAGGUGAGCCACGGUCCUCGGCACCAGAUGAGGAACCACUGUCUCAAUAAAGUCUCAAUGCUGUGUGUGUAACGAUGGUGACCCUGAGAGCUUCCCUGCAAUUCCAAUUUUUGUGUCUCGUUCUCAGUGACACCAGUGAUGCUGUUAAACAAGGGCAGUCAGUUUGUGGAUUGUCACAAUGCACACUGAUGUCAAGGGGACACUGCCGUCAGGUACAGAGGGCACCACAGUGACCAGGAACGGCUGUCCUUGCAGGCCAGGUUUUAGGAGGCUUUACCAGAAGGAAUGGAAAAUUCUAGUGGGCACUAAGGUUGAAACAGCAUUUGAGGACUGGUUCUCCACAAAACCUUAAAUUCUUCAAGGCAUUUGACAUUUGCUUAUUUUUGUAACAAAUUAAAACAUAUCCUGUAUGUGGGUUAGAGAUCUUCAAAUUGUAAAUAUCUUGAGGCAGGAGUGAGGUUUUAUCUUUUAAAGGACAGGCCCCUACUCUCCUACGUAAUGAGUUUCUAAAAACGAAUGUGAGCACCAAUCAAUAUUUCUCUGGUUGUUAAAGUCAAGAAUAAAACGAUAUUUUUAAGCUCC